rnacentral:rRNA from 1 species
GUCCACGCUGUAAACGAUGGGUGCUAGCUGUUCGGGGUUCCCCUGAGUAGCGUAGCUAACGCGUUAAGCACCCCGCCUGGGGAGUACGGUCGCAAGAUUAAAACUCAAAGAAAUUGACGGGACCCGCACAAGCGGUGGAACAUGUGGUUUAAUUCGAGGCAACGCGAAGAACCUUACCAGGGCUCGACAUGCCCUCUUUGGAUUCCCGAAAAGGAAUCCUUCAUUUAGUUGGGAGGAGCACAGGUGCUGCAUGGCUGUCGU